GCCUCUCCAAUUGGCAGCCGCUGCAGUACAGCCUUCCCGACAUUCUCCACCACCGCCCACUCCUUAUCUCCUCCGCUCCCAGCAUCAUCAUCUGGGCCUACGUUCGUUUUCGGCCCUCUACGAUCCGGAGUACCGAGUCUACUUGGGCCCGGGACGGCGGCGUGGAGACCCAAUUGACGACGAGGGGGAUUUUGUCAGCAAGGAGGGCGGAGUGGAUUUCAUCAGAGGCGGUGGGGAGUUGGUACGGGAGGACGCCUUGGAAACCGUGCUGGGUCAGGGAAAGACAGUUGGCGUGUGCCGAUUCGCAGGCGGAGGAGAACGCCGACGAGCUACUGAGGGUGCUUUCCGCUUGUUUCGAUGGUGAAAUCCCCAUCUCCCCACUCACUCAAACUCAGUUUUGGUUUCUGCUUGCCUUCCCCUUCCUAAAUCCUACGCCUGGAUAAGAUAAGGUCGCUCCUGAACGACGCCGUUUUCUGCGUAAAGGCUCCUUUUUUUGGGUUUUCGUUUGAAUUGAUAAACCCUCAACUCAACUCAACUCAACGCUUCAGAAUCAACCUCACCCUGCACUAAUCUUCCUUGUUCAUCACUUGUAACAUUAUCCACCCUAAUUCGCUUUUCUCUCCACCUCCUCCUCACCUCCUCCAUCUUUUCCGAUAGAGAAAGAGGGAGAGGAGAUUAACGGCAAAGAAUCCAGGGGGAAAGAGCUCUCGACGAGAUCAAACUAACGAUUCCAAUUUACAGGUUAGAGGUUAUCUCUGUACAUGCUCUACUAAACUUGUUAGCAAUAGGUUCCUAUGUCAUGCCUGCUUUUUAGUUUCAUUUGAGUAUCUUAGUACAUUGUUUGGUUAACAUUACUUUUUUGUUUACUGUGGCAAUUUGAUGGUGUUACAUCUUAGCAAACUUGUUAUCCAUAUUGGUCGGACUGCAAUUUAUUUUUUCUGUAUCUGAUGAGUUGGUUUGCUGCUUAACGCUCUUGUCAUUCUUGUAUUACAUGAGCACUAGUUGAUAUUGUGAUUUGUGAACUUCGUCUCCUGAAUUGACUAGCUUUACUUCACCAUUAUCUGCUUAGUGGGAUUGGAGGAAUUGGCUUCUAAAUUGGGCUUCUUAGGAUCGUGGCAUCAUCUCGUUGCCUGUUUUGAUUUUUCCCGAUGAACUUGAUGGUUGUGGUGGGGUUAUAUAAGAACCGGUUUCUCUGUUAAUUUGGGCAUUCUUGAAGUUUGCUGGUCACUGAAAUGUUGCAUACUUGCGUAGUAUUGCUGAGUCAGUGCCAUGCUUCCUGAUUUGACAGAAAGUGGAGUCUAAUUGUGAAGAUUGAAAUAGGAUAACGAUGGUAUUUGGAUAUACAUUAGCAGCAUGGUGUAGCAAUAUGGGUGCGGAAUUGCAUCUGUAGGUUAUUGCUUUGCUAUCCCUGCAAGUUCUUCCAAGUAUUAUAGCUCAAACUCUGUCAAUUUUUGUAAUGACAAACUGACUAUGAAGGCAUUGGUUGAGAAUCUCGAUGAGAGAGUUACCAGAUCUGCAGGUGUUUGAUGCCUUGUUAUUUAGUUGUUGUAUAGGGACUCCCAUAGUAUUCAUGACACAACGUUUGCUUUUCUUUAGAAUUUAAUCAUUGAUAAGCAUUUGGUUUUUCCAGUCAAGACUUGCGUGGCUGCAUGGUCUUACUUUGGGUACCAACUAUCGCUACUAUGGUUACAAAUUGCCCAGAAUGAAACCAAGGCGCUUAGUUGGUUUACUCCAAAACUUUGCUGAUGUAUGCAACCCUUUUUUUUUGUUUUGAGUUGACUGAAUCACGUUUCAUUGUGGAACCCACUGUUGGAGAAAGCUGAUAAAGUUGCUGAGUCCACAACUCUGCGCUUGCUACCAUCUCCGGAGCUGCAUCCUUACUCACUGGGAUGAGCAUAGGUAUGGAGUUUCCAGUGAUAGAGACUUCUACAAAUCAGGGUAUUUAUAUUGUUUAUUUCCAAUUGGAGAAGGAAAAUUGGUGAGAAACCAAAUAUAGAGGAGGAACACGUCGUGUUCCUAUAGGACACGUUGUGUUCCUAAAGGACACAGGCGUGUUCUCUAAAAAUCGCUUCUCGGUCCGAAAGUUCCAGAGAAAAGGACACGGGCGUGUGCUUGAGGAACACGUCGUGUCCAAUGAUAACACCGUGUACUCUAAGGACACGACCGUAUUCCAUGAAAUUAACUUAUCAGCCGUAACUUCUUUAGGAACACGCCAUGUCCCAAAGCUUACAACAACUUAAAUAAUCUGUCUUAGUUCUCACUUGUCCCCAAACACUAUAUAUCGUCUGAAUUUUGUGAUUUAUUCAUUCUUUGAUACGUUUAGCUCAUCUUUGCAAGUCAUACGAUUUCGAAUAGUGCCCCGACGUCGCCGUGUGCUUGAAAUGAAUAAAAAACACUACGAAACAACAUCAAAUGGAUCCUGAAUGGGUCUGAGACACUAAAUUGAGAUAGAAGUUAGAAAUGCAUGAAACACCCUAAACUUCUACUCAAACCUAUACGAAUAUGCAUGAAAUGUCGAUUAAACGAGGGCGAUGAACAUGACAAAUCGAGUGUCAUCAAAUACCCUCAUACUUAAACUUUUCUUGUCCUCAAAUAAAAGGCUGAUAAAAGUCAAUGAAUACAUCUACAAUCAAAUUAACUACUUAACGAAGCAAAGAAAAUUCGUAAUCCCCAAUGCACCCCUAAAUUUGCUUAAUAGACCAAUGAACCUUAAACAAACCAAAAUAAGAUGUAAAGGUCUCACAAGAAGUUUUUCAACUUGUCACACAUCAUCAUACACGUUACAUCAACCAUCUAGACUUACUCUCAAGGGGAUUAAGCUCAAAGAUAAAAACAAAAAUGAAUUCACUCAUAGUGUUUCAAGGAUAGUGUUUAUGCACUCAUCAUUAUCUCUGAAGUGCGCUUCCAAAACUUGCACAUCAACCUACUCCUACUCAUCACAUUAAGACACUUCAAACACUAAUCCAGAGGUCUUUUAUGGCUUUGUAAUAUGGACAGAACAGAAAAGAGAAGGUGAAAUGACUUUGGUCGUGAAUGUACACAGCGGUGAACGAGUCGGUCUACUAUAAUGAGGAGUUAAAUUACUACUUACAAAUAGCAUUAUGCAAGGAUCUAAUUCAAUCAAGAGUUUCAAACUAACUCGUCUAUCCCUUAGACAAAUACUACUACUUCGAGCUUUUGAGCUCGUUUAUUCAACUAACUCGAGACCUUUUGGUCCUUUUUUUGAUUUUUUCUACUUUUCUUAUCUCAAGACUGGAUUUUUUACUUGUCUCCUUCCUUUUUUCAAAAUAUUCACCAUUUUUUCUCUUUUUCUCAUUUUUCGAAACUCUACAUAAACAUCAACAAUAAAUGCUUGAAAGAAAGGGGUUACUAUAUUAUUGGGGGUUAUGAAAAGGGUUUUUGAUUAUGAUUGAGUUAUCUAGGGGGGAACAUAAUGACAGGAUGGAUAUUUUCUAUGGAGCUUUUCUAAGUGCCUCUAUCGUUUUAGUGCAUUAGUGUCGAGCGAAUUCAGAGCGGUAUCAUGCAAGUAUCAGAUUAGCAACAAACAGAGAAGACCACUCAAAUCAAUUUUUCAGAAAAAUCUACUAAUGAAACAAUUAAUCUAUACUACAAAAUGGUCUUUUAGGCCUCGCAUUGUUUUGCUAGAUAAUAAUUUAAUAACAUGCAUGCCUGGUUACAUCAAGUUGGAGAGUCCGUGCUAUUUUAAACACGUCAAAGUAACUCAAAAGAAUGAAUCAAUAGACUUUGAUCACAUGCUUAAACUCCUAUCACAUAUAGGUUCACAAGUAAAUCAGCAAUUCAAGUGCACAAAUCGCUGGGAAACUUUCUAAGCAUGUUAAGUAAUUGAUUCAAGGAUGGUUCCAACAUGCUUGAAACUUGGACUGAUAUGGAAGAUGAAAAAAAUACCCAUGAAGAUUAGCUAACAAGAAUCCUAUGCAAACUCACCCCACACUUAGUUUGGACAGUGUUCUCAUUGAACGAAAUGGAAAAGUUGCAUAGGCAUACUUGGAAGCCGUGAGCAAACCGAUGAGGCAAGAAGCAUGAUCCAUUGAAACUCGAACUCGGCGGCCAACCAACUCCUGAAACUCACUCAAACACACACAUAAAAACCAAAAAAAAAAGUAAAAAGGAAUUAGGACAAUUGUCCAAGUCCCACACAUAAGACCUAUACAUGCAAUCCAACUAAUAUAAAAUGCAAAAGACUGACUCCAGACAUGGGCUGCCUCCCAUGAAGCGCUCUUUCUUUAAUGCUUUGAGAUAGACGAUACUUGGAUCAUUAAGUUGGGGCAACUCAACUUAGAACUUCUUUGAGGCUAGCAUCGUUGCUUUUUUACAUACAACUUAUCUGCUCCACUCCUAAGUAGCCACUUUCUCUUCCCAGCAAAAAGAAGUUUCACUGUACCAUCAUUUCUAACGUCGGUGACUUCAAAUAGUGUGAUCCACUCAUCUUUGACUACGUUAUCAUCAGGGGGCUUGGUUGGUUGCCUCGCCUCUUCCCAUUUUGGCUCCCCUUUUUCGUUGGUAGGGACCAUCUCUCCAUUUACCUGUUUCUUUGGGAUCACUUUCUACUCAAAAGAUGGGUCAUUAGACAAAGCAGAAUCGAGAGUGACAACAUUCACUUUAGCAAGUUGUGUUCCAUUCAAGUUAAGCUUAAAGGAUACAGUCAUGCUCGAGGUGGAACUAGAUAUCUCAAGGGCAAUCUUUUCUCCUCCCAUCCUCAAAGUCAUCCAUCAUGUCUACACAUCUAUGAUUGCACCAGUAAUGGCUAAUUACGAUCGACUAAGGAUGAGAGGAGUUUUAUUGUCCUCUCUGUUAUCCAUUACCACAAAAUCAACAGGGCGAUAGCUAUCAUACACAUUCACUAGCACAUUCUCUACCAUCCCUAAAGGCUGCUUAAUGAACCUAUCAAUAAAUAGGACAUUCAUAUCGAUUGAAAUUAACUUAGAUAGUCCUAAACGCUUAAAUAGUGAAUAUGGAAUGAUGUUAAUACUAGCACCUAAAUCAGCUAAUGCUCUAUCAACAUGGUGAUUAUUAAUAACAGAAGAGAUUGAAAAGUUCCCCGGGUCCUUUUGCUUAGGUGCCACUUUAGCCUACAAGAUCACCGAGCAUUCUUCACCGAAUGUUGCUAUCGGGGCUACGUCUUCUUUCAUCUUCCCAAGGAAUAACUUCUUCAAAAUUGUUGCAUAUGUUGGAAUUUUGGUGACGAAGUCCAAGAAGGGGAGACAAACUCCCUGGUUGCAGAGUAAUUCUGCAAAUUUGUCAUCGUCUGCUAGAAAGCUCUUUCUUAUAAGGGUUGUUGGGUAAGGCGGCCUUAUAUAUCUCUAUCUCCACUGGUGUGAGGAUGAAGUUUGUGUUUGUCGGUAAUCGAGCCUUUCGCGGUGGUCUACUCCUCUUAAUCUGAGCUUCCUACUUUAGCUGUUCAACUUGGUAGGCAUCUUCAAUUUCAUUAUGCCUAUCCCAUAUGGAUAUGACAUGCACUCCCUCUAUCUGUGCAUUUCCCGGACGCUAAUGAUUGUUGGGGUUCUGCUCGAUGUUCCCUAAGAGCUGUCCAAUAAGUCUCUGAUCAACCUUUUGUUCCAAAGAUGUUAAGGAUACCUCCAUCCUUUGAAUCGUUGCUUGUUGACUUUGCAAAAUAAUCUUUACCAUGAGUAACCUAUACCAUCCCGUUUGGCUAUUUUCACUAAUAGGAUCGAAGCAAACUGAGAGAAACAUUGCCUAAAGAGUUUGUUAUCCAUGGUAUAGGGCCACUUGGAUAACACGGAAAAGUUUCACGACGAUUGCUCCUCUAUGAUCAUGGAAGAUAAACUAAAAAAUGAUCGUAACUAUAAAGAUCAAGUAAUCUAACUAUCCACAUCAUUUGGCUAAUGCUAAAAGUCAAUUGAUUUAGGAUUGAUUAGUUUUUAAAGUGCAUUGUUUCAAGGGUGUCUCGAGGGUCGAUUGAGGCUAUUUUGGGGUGGUUCUGUGUUUUGCUGGAGUUUUUUUCUUCUGUUUUGACUGAGGCUUUUGUAGUGUGCCGAAUUAUUUCUUUUUUUACUGUUCUUUUGUAGUGCAUUUUCUAAUUGCAUGAGUAUAAAAAUACCUAAUCUAUUUGGAUAUGCUUCGAUGGACUUAUUUGCUGCAAAUUGUGAGAGCAUGAGAAAUGUAAUUUAUAUCUUUUUUGGUGGUUCGUUGAUGAAAAAAAAACAUUUCACAUCAAUGCUUUUUUUGGUGGUAUCGUAGGAUUCUUUUCGCUGCUGCAAAAUGAAGUUUGCUAAGUUCAUUCAUAAAUCUUGAAAUGAGACUUAUUGAGUGACAUAUAUUUGGUCUUGUGUGUGUCAGAUAUAUGAGUGAUCCGACUAGACUUCUGUAGAUUUUUCCGUCAACUUUUUCUACUCCAUCAUGUUGUUGUAGUUUGUUGUUCAACGCCAUUGGUGUCGCUAUCGGCUUGCACGAUGUCAUGUGAAAUCUGUUUAACUUGUCUUUAGUAUACUUUUGUUGAGAGAUUAAUACUUUUUCAGGUUUCUGCUUCACUUGAAUUCCUAGAAAAUACUUCACGAGUCCCAAGUCUGUCAUUUCGAACUCUGACAUCAUUGCCCUUUUGAAUUCUUCAAUCAUUUGUGGACUUGUGCCUUUGUAGAUCAAGUCAUCAACAUAUAAGCACAAAAUAAGAAUUUUUUUGUUUUCGCCCUUUCUUAUAUAGAGAGAUGCUUCACUUGGACUUCUUUGGAAUCCGUUGUCUUGAAAGAAUCGAUCAAUUCUGCUGUUCCUUGCUCGUGGUGCUUGUUUGAGUCCGUAGAGCGCCUUUUUGAGUUGAUAGACUUUGUCUUCUUCUCCUUUCUUCUCGUAUCCUCGUAGUUGUUCCACAUAGACUUCUUCUAGUGUUCCAUUGAGGAAUGCUGACUUGACGUCCAGCUGGAAUAUUGGUAACUCCAUUUGAGCUGCUAGUGUUAUGACUGUUCUGAUUGUCUCCAUCCGUGCUAUUGGUGCGUAGGUUUCGUGAAAGUCGAUGCCAGACUAUUGUGAAUAUCCUUUUGCCACCAAUCUCACUUUGUGCUUCCGAAUGGAACCGUCUUCGUUAAAUUUGGUCUUGUAGAUCCAUUUAGACCUAUGACCGGUUUGUCUUUUGGUUUGUCCACGAGCUCCCAAAUUUUGUUCUUCUCGAUCAUUGAGAUCUCUAUGUUCAUUUUUUCUGUCCAGACUUUCUAUGUUGCUCAUUCUUCAAAUGUCUGGGGUUCACAAGAAAAAUAAGCUACAUGAAUUGAUUCAUAAAUUUCUCUUAAGAAUCUAACCUUUAAUGGAGGUGAGUCUGAAUCUUUCACGACGUCUCUGAAGUUGUCUCUCGUUGGACUCGUUGUUGGACGUCUUCCUUGUCUUAGAUUUUGAUCCGCCUCAUAUGGUGUUGUUGGUGUAGUUUUUGGAUUCUCUGGGAUCUCAUUUUUGAUGGAUAUUGAGUAUCUUGAGUCUCCCAACUCCACUCGGCCAUUUCGUUGAAGAUAACAUCUCGUGAAAUCACCACCUUGUACUUUACUGGAUUGUAGAGUCUAUAACAUUUGGAUUCGUCACUAUAUCCGAUGAAAAUGUCUAGAUUUGGGGUAGAGAUGUGUGCAUAUGCUAUGCAUCUAAAUACUUUAAGGUGAUCGACUUGCGGCCUUUUGUGGUGCCAUGCUUGAAAAGGUGUUUUGUUCUUCACUGCUUUGGUUGGCAAUUUGUUGAGGAUGUAGAUUGUUGUAUUGAUAGCUUCUGCCCUUAGUUGGUUGAGAAUUUUCUUAGCAGUCAUCAUGCUUCUUGACAUCUCCACAAUUGUACGGUUCUUUCGUUCUGCUAUGCCAUUUUGUUGUGGUGUGUACGACACUAUGAACUGCCUUUUGAUUCCGUUGGUGCGACAGUACUCCAUGAAAGCUUUAUAGAUGAAUUCUCCACCACGAUCUGUUCGUAGUGUCUUGAUUUAAUGCAUGCUUUCCUUCUCAGCUGCUGCUUUGAAUUGAAGAAACUUGGAGAAAGCUUUUGACUUUUGUUUAACAAAGAAUACCCACAUCAUUCUAGUAUAAUCAUCCACAAAAUAUUAGUGUGUACCAACUCUAGUGGUGUUUUUGCUCUCCAAGUGAUUUUUGAAAAUGGCAAGCGAUGCAUUUUUUCAUAUAUGCAUCCUUCACUAACCUUGUCUUCUCUGUUGAUUUGGAGAAGACCAACCACAAUAUUUUUAUGCUUCAACAAUUUAAACCCUUUGUAGUUUAGGUGUCCAUAUCGGAUAUUCCAUAGGAAAGAUUCAUCCAUGCUUUGGCUCUUCAUUGCUAAUUCUUCAUUCUUCGACAUUGUGAGAGGAAACAUCCGGUUGGAAGUCAUCAGAAUUUUCGCCACUUUCGAGUUGUUGGAUUUGUUGAUAAUCUCACAUUCUCUGUUAUCAAACAACAGUUUAUAAUUUUUAAGCAUUAGUUGUCUAACACUCAGAAGAUUUUGAGCUAAUUCAGGAACGUACAAAACUUAUUGGAUUAGAGUUUUGUUACCUCCCUUUCUUUGUACGAUGAUAAUACAUUUUCCUUCAACUUCCAACUUUUUACCAUCUCCAAUCUUCUAGUGAGACUUAUAUGUAUCAUCCAUCUCGGUGAAGGACUCUCGAUCUCCAGUCAUGUGAUUACUGCAACCGUUAUCCACCACCCAUGGAAGUUGUGAUUUUUGCUUGGCUUUGAAGCAAGUGUAUGCGACCAGUUUUUCUUCGUCCUUAUGUGCGAAGCAUGAUUCGCCUUCUUCUUUCUUGUUCUGGAACCAGCAAUUUCGUUGAGAGUGAUUUUGAAUUUUACACUUGGUGCACCUAAACCUGCAUUCUUUGGUAGCAUGGUUAGAUUUUUUGCAAAUUUUGCAUCCGUCAAUAGAGUUGCUUGAUUUCUCCAGAUACUAGCUCCAGUUGCUGUUUUUCUUGAAAUUCAAUUUUCCUCCUUUCUUUUGAAAGUUGCCCCCUCUGCGGUUCUGCUAUCCUUUGAUGUCGACCUUGGAUUGAAAAGCUUGUUCAAGUUGUUGGUUGGUAAACCGGCUCAAUCUCUACUCAUGAGAUAUAAGUGAUCCCAUAAGCUCUGUCAUGGGUAAAUUUUCAAGAUCUUUGGUUUGUUUUAUGACAGCGACAACAUGCUCAAACUUUGGUGUUAGGCUGCGGAGGAUCCUCUCCACGAUCUUCUUCUUGUCAAUAGUCUCUCCAGUGACUUUGAUCUGGUUCACUAUCUCUGCAACACGGGAAUGAAAGUGUUUGAUGCUUUCCCCUUCCUUCAUUGCCAGGUUGUCGAAUUGACGCCAUACAUUUUGGCGUUUUAUGGAGAUUGCUUUCUCGGACCUUUGAAAUUCGUUCUUCAGGACUUCCCAAUCUUCUUUAGCUGAUUUGAUGCCAAAAAUUUUCGGAAAUAUUGUUUUGCUCACCAAUGCUGAAUUAUCCUCAAUGCCCUGGCGUUCCUCUUGACAUUCUUCUUAUGCUCCUUCGUUUUCGUCCCACUUGUUUUGGGAUUGUCAUCUUUUGCCGAUUCCGCCUUUUUCCCGGUCGAUGUGGAGUCGUCCUUUUGUGGUGAUUGUUCGAUUCCUUCUUGAACAAUAUCCCACAAAUCUUGCAAAAUGAAGAUAGUCUCCAUUUGUGCUUUCCAAUAUUCGUACAAUUCACCGUGAAAAAUUGGGAUUUGAUUUGGAGAGUUGGCGAACAUGGAACUUGACGAUGGUGCUGCCAUAGGAUUUUGAGAGAAUUCUUUUGGUAGAAGUUUUGAGAGGGUUUUGUGAGGGUAUGUUAUAUAGGUGAAUUCUUCUGUAUACCUGGUAUACUGAAUGUUUUGGUAUGCCUAGUUUUUUUGUAGAUAACGUAGACCAUCAUAAACGUCCAUUUUAAGUAAUCAAUCUUGACGGUUGAUAAUAAAUAUAAUUUUAAAAUUAAAUUACACAUAUAAUUUAUGGUCUUGGUCUUAAAAUACUUUUACAAAUUCAUCAUUUUAAUGUUUCGAUAUUUCAUAUUGAUCGAUGAGUGUUUAUUUUAUCAUUAAAGUACAUACGGUAACGGUGUGACAAACGUCAAGUUUAGCCAUGAACUCUUCUUUCUCAAAGAAAAAAUCAAACCCUACGGCGGCACAACGACAUUGUGGCUAAUCAAACCCAUCACCGGCGAUGCUGCUAAUAUUCCAACUCUUCUUUAUUUUUGUCAGCUAAAUGUAUGAGGUGUUGUCGCCGUCUAUAGUCCGGAGCAAAGCCAUACCUUCUUCCUCCCGGCCCUGACACAACGCGACGAUGCCGCGGACUUAGUUCCAUACUAGGUGACUAGACCGGGCUGGGGACAUUAAAUUGGCAAGCCCUGAUUCAAUAAGGGGAAGGCCACUAACAAGACCCUCCGCUUUGACCCCAUUACCGUCGACGAUGUAUACAUAUCGUAGCCUUGGUAUCUACCUGGGUUGCUUUCUUGAACCUUGUUUCUUCUUCCGGGCGAAAUUUUGUUGAUUAAUUAGCUCGUGUAUUCUGAUUACUAAUUGAACAACAACUUAGAAUGGGAUCCUGAGCGUAAUUGAACAACUGCCUAGCUAGUGUAUUCUAAUUAGUAAUCUUGCUUUAAUUACAAUACGAACCAUCAUUUGUUCUAGUUCAGAUGAUCCAAUGCAUUCAAAUACUCUACAAUUUAACUAGAGUUUCUUUCAACUAGUGAUGUUACAAUUGCUACUGCAUCUUAUAUUUGGCUUUUUUCUAGAGCCAGAAUUAUUGCUUUCAGAAAAUUCAUUCCCAUCCGACUAUAUGAUGUCCGCCGAAGAUUGAUGAGGCCAUGUUUGAUUUUUGUGCAUAUUGUGUUAAGGAUUUAGAGAUCAUUUGCAGAAAUGGAUCAUGUUAUUAUUCCAGUGUUCUUGCAUAGUUUUUGUUAUUUAUCUUACUUCUCUCCAUUCAAUGAAUAUUUGCAACCGAGUUGCAAAGUACCUGGCUGAUAUUCUGAUUUGUUAUGUCUUCGACGAUGAUUUUAUACAAUGUAAUAAUGGGAGGAAGACGAUGGAAGAAUUUAUGGAAUUUUUUAUAAAGAAGAGUUUAUGGUGAUUUAAAUUAGUGUUUGAUUCAAGCUGUUAGCAUAUAUACUUAUACAAAUAAACACUCAUUGGUCGAUGCGAAAUUCUGAAACACUAGAAUGACGAAUUUGUAAAAGUAUUUUAAGUUCAAGACCAUAAACGAUAUGAUUAAAUAAGUUUUAAAUUUAUAUUUAUUAUCAACCGUCAAGAUCGAUCAUUUAAAAUGAACAUUCAUGAUGAUUCACGUUACCUAUAAAAAAACUAGGCACACCAAAACUUUCGAUAUACCAGGAAUACUGAAGAAUUCACCUAUAAUAUGGUAAUCAAAGUACUAAAGUGUAACUUUUCUGAUGUGGAAGUCAAAGUACUAAAGUGUAACUUUUCUGAUGUGGAAGAUCAGUUAUUAAAACCGCAACCACAGAGCAUACUCAGCGUGACGUUAGCUCUGAUACCAAAUUUGUUGGGGCGCUUGCGGAAAUGUAGCGGCAUUUAGGAUCGAAAAGAUAGUAUUUUGAUAACUCACUCAAUUGAUCACUCAAUUGAUCACUCAAUUUUGUAAAUAUUACAAUUUGGUUACUUGACCAAUUCCCUCACCCUCACAAUUUACUCUCUACGUCGUCUUGCUCACUUUUGCUUUGCUUACAAUUUUUUUUCUCUAUUUUUCACAUUUGCGUAAAGUGAGGCUUCAUAUUUAUAGGAAAAUACAACCUCCUUAGGAAGAUACUAGCACACUUGGUAGGUUUAGUGUGUGGCUAGAAUUAGUUUAGUUAUUAAAACAUAGUAAUUAGUUUAGUUGAGUAGUUUCGAUAUUUUUGUGGAGUGAUUUAGAGAAAGAAUACUCUAGAUUGCUGAUUACUUACUUUCAAGACCUUGUAUGUCUUCUGCUACUACUUCUUCUUUUCUUCAAUGGGAUCAGUCCUCCGUUGAUUUAUGGGUCAGAGACACGGAGUAUUCAUGAAAGAGCUCCUCUGGAUAGUAUGACAAUGAAGGAAUCCCUCGCCGAUACAGUACGAAGGAUUCAGAAAUUUGACACGGGAACUGGAAACAGAGUAAUCACAAUCAGGUGCAGAAACUGAACCUUAAUCAAAUUUAAAUUAUGGAUGCCAAACCACUAAAAUCAUACCUGUAAUUGGAAUUCACAAAAAUAAGUUCAAUGCGAUCCUUUAUGGUCGGAAGUUCUGGUCUCCGAAUACUCCCACCGUCGGGAACUCUCAUCGUCGAAUACUCCCAAUUGUGACCAAAAACCUGUUGAAAUCGAAGAUAUGCCCCAAAAUUAAUUACAAUAAAAUUCGAAAGUAUAAUGACAUCCGAUGUAAUAACUUACAAAUAUAAGGAUAUAAACCAUAUUUUACUUAUUUAAGUACAUAACAAUUGGGCUUUAAUCUAAAAAACAUGCCCAAAUCAAAAUGGGUUUCAGAAAACCAAAUUUAUUAGAGGCUUAUUUUGUUUCAUUAUUUGUCGUAGCUGCUACUAACGGAAAUUCACAAAAACAGUUUUUUGUGGGUCUUUGUUUUGUUUGUUCGAUCAAAAUUCACAGAAAUAGUUUUUUGUUGGGGUUUUGUUUUGUUUGUUCGAUCAAAAUUCACAGAAACAGUUUUUUGUUGGGGUUUUGUUUAGUAUUCUCUGAGAGCUGUCCAAUAGGUCUUCUGAUUGACGUUUUGUGCCAAGGAAGAGUAAGAUGAUUUCAUGUAUUUAAUCAUUGUUUGUUGACCAUGCAAAAUAAUAGUUUAGUUAGCCAAUUGCGCUUGAAUGGUCUUCAUCAUCUGGAGGAUGUCCUCAUUGAUUCCUCUAGUGGUGGUCGAAUUCUGUUGUAGUGGUUUCACUUGAAAUCCUGGAGGUCCUUGGUUGCUCAAAUUUCCUCGAGGAAUGGUGUUCGUGUUGACAUUAUAAUCUUCCACUCUAGGCUUGUACAAAUCAGAGCAAGGGUGUGCAUGUUGGAAUUGCCGCCUAUGGCGUUCUUUGCUCUAAAGUCAUGAUAUCCUGCAGACUGCACGGAUAGCCCCCUCGUACAAAAUCAACUUAUUCCACUAUCAUGGAUUUGCUGGUGAGGAAGUUAUCAUAUCCUCUCUGGCUAUCACAAACACCACACCAAGCACAAGUGUAAACAGAAGCAGCAGGGGGGUUUGGAAUCUUCAAACUGGCAAUCCUCUUCUCUAAUGCCUUAACCUGAGCUCUCAAAGCAAUAUUAUAUGCAUUACCAGAGGAUACUACAUUUGGUGGUUGAAUAGUGUUCCCCGCCUAAUUUCUCGACUUUGUUGCACAUGAGGCAAAGUGUUGCAUAAUAGCUUCAAGAGUAAGAGCAGUGACAUCUCCAUUUGCUAGUUGUGUAUUAGCAUUGAGGUUGCGUAAUCUAAGGAUCUGCUGAACAUGCUUGCGAGUUGACUGUCGGUGUAACCAUGGUGAGUGCAAUCGGUAAGAAGCUCUUGAAAUAUGUCCCACAUGUCAUACAAGUUCUCUCCUUCUCUUUGAUGAAUCCGAAAGAUUGAUUACCUGAUAGUUGUGGUCUUUGCUGACGGAUAGUACUCCUCUACAAAAGGUUGAGCUAGAGUUUCCCAAUAUCUAAAUGUGCCUUGAGGUUGGCUAGUCAACCAUCUUCUCGCUACUCCUCGAAUAGACCACUUGAACAGCUUGAGCUUUAUUGCUUCAUCAGUCAAACCUCAAAAUUUGACAUUCUCACAAUAAGUAUAAAAAUUCACUAGAUGGGCACAUGGAUUUUCAUUGGUCCUACCAUCAAACUUCAAGUUUUUCUUAAUUAAGGAGAUGAGAUUCCCCUUGAUCUCAUAGUUGGCAUAAUCUUAUUCAGGAGGAACCACACUCCAUAUGAAGUUUGCAGCACUAGGCUUGGUAUAACCAGCAAGGGUUCUUGUUGCUGCCAUUGGUUAAGUAAGCCGGGAACUGUAACCGUGGUCUCAUUUUGAGUCCGAGUCUGAAGAGUGUUCGAGCCGAGAUUCUACAUCACUUCCCAAUAGAGCCUUGAGAGAUUCAACAAUCUCUCCUUCCUCUUGUGAUGCGUGCGAGUCCUGAUGAGAGUCUUGAUUUGAUUUGGACCGUGUCAUUAGGUGACAUGCAAUGAAUUCUCACUUGCACAAAGAAAAGCAAUAAACUACGUAAAAAACCGUGACCAAAAAAUUUAAAACGGUAGCGAAUGACUAAUAGUAAUCGAACUACUUUCACAUACUAGAAAGAAGUCCCCAACAACGAUGCCAAUUUGAUGGAUGUUUAUAGGCGUUAUCAAAAUAAUCCGGCUAAUGAACUAACUAGAGUUGAAUCUCCCUAUGGUCUCUUUUAGUAUCUUACUCAAAGUUGUAAUUAGUACUAAUCAAAGUAUCAAUGAAUGAGGUUUAGGUGCCACGAGGAUCAAUCAAUCAAUGAAAGUGAAAAUGAAAAUUGCUUCAAAGUAAAUGGUUUGCAAGACUCCACGAUAAGAGUUUAGAAAAUCAGAGAUGAAACUGCUUAGAUGUCGAAUCUCCCUAGGCAAUUCUAAUUCACAAAUGACAGACAAAUUUCACGAUUUACACGACACAUGAUAGAUUCAAUAAACUGUCACAAGUCUUCUCUUAAAUGAAAUUUCGCUUAAAUGAAGACGAUGAACAAGACAAAUCGAGUGUUAUUAGUCGGUGAUGUCUAAAUCCUUUGCCAAUAAAUCUAUGAACCACCCCAGUUGUUUGUGCUUUCAUGUUCAAUAAUUUCCCAUGCUAUAGGGUACAUUCCAUUAUUUUCAUCAACACCAACACCUUGUAAUAGUUUCCAUCCAAUACCUUAAAACCCUUAUUCAUAGGACCUAGACAUAUGUAGAUUCAUUAAAAUAUUAGUACAUCAUACUCAAUCUCCAAUGUGGUACCAAACUUUGGUCUAUCUAGUUCACACUUGUAAUCCCAAAGUUUGGUGAACUGUUAUGUUUUUUCAUCGUGAAUGAGUUUCUUUGCAUAUUUCUUUAUCCUGUGACCUUGAGCGAAUUGAUCUUCAACCCAAAAUCAGUGUAUACAGUAUGCCUAAAAUUCCUAACAGUCCAGUUUGGGUCAAUACGGAAUCACCCAAUUUAAUGGUUGGCCAAUAAGAAAACCCUUGCCACCCUUAUGUCCUCUUCAACAUGACACACGUGUAUUGGUUAACCAGAGACCAAUCUCACUGUUUCACUCCCUCCUCUAAUAGUGGAAUAUAGGCCACAUUGUUGCAUAUAUUCACACUUCCAUCGAAUCUUUUCGUUCACUAAAAAGCGCACACCAGGCCUUUGGAUUAUCACAUUCAUCUUAUAGAAUUCUUUGGAGUCAUCAAACGAACGAAAUUCCCUACCAAAAAAGAUUCCAGCUUUGUACAAAUCCAUGUCCUUCUCAAACAUUGGGUACCUUAGAGGCCCAUAAGUUAGUUCUUCCUUGGACCCCCAUCCAGUUUGAUGGGCUAGCAGUUUUUCAUUGAUGUCAACGCCGACAUAUAAAGGAUUGAAAGCAGAGCAUGUAUAACGAUGUUGAGGGUCGACGUAGGGACCUUGGGGUGGGCUCAUAGGUGGCUCACUAUAACGUUCUCCUUCAACAUCGGUUACGCCAGUACGUUGCCUUCCUCGGUGAACCGAAAGAAAAAGGUUCUUCCUCAUCUUCUUCCAACACAAAUUCCCAAUCAUCAGUGUCUUCCACCUCCAUAUCAUAUGCGUAAAAGUUAGAAUCAUGUGAGUCAUCAGAUGAAUGUUCAAAUUCAAGAUCAUCAUCAGCUUCCCACUCCAUCAUGCCAAUUGGGUAUUUUUCCUUCAUUAUCAGAAUUAUCAACUUCUUUGCCAGCAAAAUAUUCUGCUUCUAGUUCAUCCCAGUCUUGCUGAGCUUCUUCUUCUGGUGCAUUGAUAUUUUUGAGAGAAGGCUCUAUGGGAACAUUCAAUAUGUUUGCAUUGUUUAAUGGACCCACCGAUUCCAACAUAGUUGGACCUACCUUGUGGACCAUUGGGGCAUCAACAGCAAAAUCACAUUGUGGGGACACAUCAUAGUUCUCCUUCUCAACAUUUUCUUCCAAAUAAGUAUUAUGAGCUUAUAAGUUGGGGCAUUGAAGGAAAAGGACACUCAGAGGUCAUGCAUUCAUUGUCCUUGAACCCAUCGCACUAGAUAUACCCCCCUUCAUUUACUUCUUUCUCCUCAUCACGAUCAAGUGGAGUUAGUAUCACACUUUAACUGCCACCUAGGGUUCCCGACUUCAUCAAAUCUUCUCUUAUCUGCCACAUCGUCAUUUGUGCUUGGAAUUCAGUUAACUACUUCUAAUACACCUUGACCAUAAGGACAUCAGCUGCCAACCCAUCGGCCAGGGCCAUUAUGUCGGCUUCACCCUCUAAUGGUGUCAACGCCUCUUCAAUUUCUUUCAUUGGAACCAUCCACAAAAACUGAAAGAAUUCCCAGUCAAUGUCAAGCAUCUAAACCAUCUUGUUUAGUUCAAUCAUGGAGAAGAAAUCAGGGCUAGCACCAUCAAAAUGAGCAAUUGAACUGUAUAGGUGCUGAGUUCGGAUCGACAUACUGUUGUAAUACAUUUUAACGGUUAUCCUCUUCCCAACGCUUACAAAAUUAUGGCAAGUUACAGGAGCCAAUCCUAAUAUACAAUACGACAAAAGGAAACCCCAAACCCUAAACAGUAUUCAAUGCAUUAUCAUAAUCAGCUUACAACAAACCAUUAUAACUACAUGCAAAACGGACUGAACAGAGGUGGGAACAAGUCAUGCUAUUUUCUUGGACCAAGCUCUGGUGGAUUAUGGCCGACCGGCCGAUGCGUCCACAUUACCAACAUUGCUCUUAAACUAAAAUAUCCUACCGCAUCAACACAAUGGUGUCAGAUGAUGGCAACACAGAGAAAUGCACAAGAUUAAAGAGAAAAAUACGUCAAACCCACUCGCCGGAAAGGCAAGAGUCGCCGGAAAGACCUUUCUCUUACUAUAAUCCGGUUGUCAAAUUUUGUACUGGUGAAAAGGGAGAGAGAGAGACAUGCAUAUCAUUUUAUGUAGAGGGAAUAUGGAAGGUCCCAUUUGGUUUUGGGUUUGGUUGAAAUUCUUUUAGUUUCAUAUAGGUGAUAAGUUCAUUAAUCAACUUAAAAUAUCUAGUAACGUUGAGAGCGACUGUGGCCAACUUGAUGGAAAAAUUAGAUGUGGGAUAGACGGAAAUAGUGCUCGAUCGUGUUUUGAUGGAUUUAUCGACCUAAGAACCCGAUAAAAAAUCGGAUGAAACCUUUGGGACUAUUUAAGUUAAAGACAUUGUUUUACUCCAAGAAAUAAAACAAAAUUUGGAUGGGAUUACACUACAAAAGGACUAUAGAAGGAGAGAGCAUUUUCUGGUCGCAUGAAUAUACAAAACACGUAAUCUAUUAGUAUAUGCUUCAAUAGACUUACUUGCAAAAAAUUGUGAGAGUAGGAAGAAGGUAAUUUAUCUCUUUUUGGGAGGUUCGUUGAUGAAAAAAAACUAAACUAACAAAAUAAUAUUUCGUAGGCAGGAACUAUAAGCUUGAGACAAUCUUGGAGAGCUUUGGCAUCAGGCAAGAUGGAAACUACAUGGGUGAAGAAAUAAAGAAGGUUAUCUGAGAACGUAUUGGCGUAGAAGCGAGGUUGGUGUGUUCCUUAUUGCCGUUGAUGGAGGUAGAAGCAAUCGUGGAAAUUAUCCUUUGGGAAGAAAUGGAUAUCAUGUCUUUUUUCAUUAUCCUUAGUGUUUUCAUUUCUAAUAAUUGGCUGCUUGUAGUUUGAAUCUGAUGUGUUGUAUUUUUGACACACUUUUUCUCAUUAAACUAUAUUUUGUGUGUCAAAAUGUAUUCAAACUCAGUAUUUUCAGUACAUGUUUAGUUCUCUUGGCCGUUGGGGCCGUAUUACGUUGUUUGGAAUAUUUUUAAUGCAUUUUCAGGCGAUGUACAAUGUUUGGGGACAAGCAGGAACUAGGAUGGCCGAUUUAAUCUGUUCUGGGGAAAGGUUUACUAAAAU
rnacentral:lncRNA from 1 species